rnacentral:tRNA from 1 species
AAGAGUAUUAUUAUUAUAUUUACAAUAUAAAAAUACAAAUUUUUUUGUUAUUCUUA